GUUUUAAUGAGCCCCUCCGACAUGGCCAAAGGCAAGAAAUGUUCUCUGGGCCAGUGAGCAACACAACGUUAAGUCUGUCACAUUACUCACAAGUAUUGAAUGAAAAACUCGUGCCAAGAGCAUUUUCAACUCUCUGUAGCGCUGCGGCUUUCCCAGUCGAGCCUUCCCCUUCAAGCUCAGCCAGCAGGACUAGCGUGUUAUUUUCUCGAGUGCCAGUCUGCGAAGAUGGCCAGAUCGGAGCCAGACACCUUCCCCUCGUGAGGCAGGUCGCUCCUGUCAUGCACCUCUGCGGCGUGCUCAUCCCCUGUGCUCAGCAGUUCGGGGAGCGAGCGUGGGACUCGGCGCUUUGUUUGCUUUAGCCAUGAUUAAACAGUUAAGCUGGACAUUUUGGGCCAGUUGGACAACGUAAGAAAAAAGGAAGAGUCAGGAAGUCACAGAACUUCUCCUACCCACAAUAAUGACAUAAGUGGAAGAAAGGUUGGAUGCAGCAGAAAGGACAAGAAUGGCUUUCAGCUGAGAGCACUGACAAGGAAUUACCUCUGAAAGUAAUACGUUGCUGGCCAACAAAGAACAACCUAUAGCUGUGAAAGCCAUUGUGGACCUAAAAUGCUAGCAGUGGUCAAAGCAAAUUAAGACUUAUUAAGGGACCCUUAUGUAUCGUUUUACCACAGCAGGAUUACACAGCCAGCUCUGCAAAGGAAGAUUUAGUCCGGUAAUUCUCACUAAGGGGCAAACCUCUCUGACUUCUGCUGGUGCUUUGCCUGAUUAAGUACUGGAGAGCCAGGUCCUAAGGUUGGCCCAGAUGAGUUCUAACCUUUCUGCCUUUAUGCAAGCAAAAGCUUCAUAUAUCAGCUCUAGCUCAUGCAGAGGAGUCUUCCCAGGCACUGUAAUCCUAAGGGGAAACAUUUCAUUGCAAUGCACAGCAAUUUGCAUUCUUUCUCAAAAUUCUGUUACUCCAUUAUCCAUUUUUCUCUUGAUUAAAAGAGAUCAAGAAGUGCACACUCACAUAAUACACAUGCAGGUUUUCCAUACUGGAGGCCUGGAAUCCACAUUCAAAUUCAAACUGGAGGAGAUCUGGCAACUUCCAGCUUUUGAUGGAUUUAUGCUGUUCUAAUAAUAGUCACUAUUUAUUGAUAAUUAUCAAGGAGGGAAGUUACAGUGUUGGGGUUUUGUUGCUGUUGUUGUUGGGUUUCUAAGACAUUCAAGUGCUUUCAGAAAUAUCCAAUGUCAAAGAGUUCUUAAACAUUGUAAGCCCUCUGUACUCGUGCAAAUUCUUUUAAUUUUACCCACUGCAGGUCAACCUAUGGCACUAGUUACUUCCAGGAGCAGAUGGAACUGGAGCCACACUAAUAUAAGGGAAAAUUCAGAAAGUAGACAUGAAUUUCUCCAAAUGUUUUGAGGUUUAGGCCAUUAGGCUAUGGUUUAGAUUACAUGGUCUGUCCCAACACCUUCCCUCCAGGAAUGUUUUGGGAAAAUAACCAGGGCUGUAAUUACAAAAGAUAUUUUUAUGAUCUAUGCAACAGUGUGAACAACCUUUGGGUCCCCCCCACCAAUAAGAACUAACAAGAUCAUAGCACAUGUAACGAGUCAAUCCUGGCCCCACCACUGACCUUUUUCAUGAAUUUGGAUUUGACUGUACCUCAGUGCCCCAUGAAUAAAACGUGGAUAAUGGCAUUUCUUUGCCUAAAA
ensembl:lncRNA